rnacentral:lncRNA from 1 species
GGAGGAAGAGCAUAGGCACAGAUGGCCACGUGGAGUGUGGUCCACAGAUAAGUCACCUGGUGGAGUGCAGCCACAGUGCCUGAGUCAGGAGGUCUCAGCUCUUGUUUCAGGAACACAGUCAUCCCUCAGAAAUGGAUUGGGUGACAAGUGGUCUGCAUGCUGCACACGGGCACUGGGUCUCUGAAUGUAACCAAAUUGUUCUCCUCUUAUCAUUCCCAUUCACUGGUGUACUUGUUUGUGGAGCCUGCAGAACUGCCUUUUUCAAGAAUGGCAGCUUGGCCUCUAAAUCUGCUUCCCACUGAUGGGAAGAGCUGACAGAAGCUUUAGAGAGGCACAGGGUGAGUUCCUAAAACCAGAGUCAACACACACUCUUCAUCUGUUUUGUGCUUCACUCCCUGCUCAUCUUCCUAAAACACUGAGUUUGGUCAUAUCAUGUCCUACAAGUUGUCAAUGAUUUCCCAUGAUCUUGUCUUCAGGAUAAAGUUCCUUAGUCAAAAGCAAUGAAGACCUGACCUAAUCUGUAAGGCAAAAUCAACACUUUUUAGCCUGGCCUUCCAUGCCCUUCCAUGCCCUUCGAGCCCCCAGAGCACCCAUGGCAGUCCAUCUCUCUCUACUUGUCCAGAGGGACACUCUCUUAGAGCCAGUGGCUCCUACUCACGGUUCCCCGAACACGUCGUGGGAAUGUUUGCCUUCAUACCUUCCCAGAUCAUUUUCCUGAUCUCAGACACCCUCCGUCCUCAUUCAUUCACUCUUCAAUUGUCCAACAAAUAUUUGUUGCUCAUGCAACCUGGAUCACCCACAUAGUUUCAAGACUGCAUCUUCUAAACUAUUUAAAUCCUAUCCAUUCUUCAAGAAAUGUUUCAUGACGCUUCCUUAACUGCUAAGGACCCGCAGAUUCUCUUCCUCUUGGGACUCACACACUGACUCAUCUCCCGAUCUUUUGGUGCUCAGCAAAGUGGAGGCUUCUGUUUUGGACUUAGAGUCAAGACCAUUAAAUAAGACUAUGCUCUAAAAAGUACACCUCCGUGGCCCGGAACGAGUGAAUUAACAUCUAUGAGUUUCCAUUUCCUUGUCUAUAAAAUUGUGAAAUUGCAACUUAAGAUUAGUUCUGAAGAUUAAAUGAGGUAACAUAGGUGAAAAUGCUACAUUUAUGUAAGAAAUUACUCUUUCAUAAGGAUGUCAAUGUUUAAAUACGCAUUUUCUCAAUUUUGUUAAUGAAAUACUUUGAAAUUCUUUUUUCUAAUGAAACCUGCUGAAUGUAAAAGAGACCCGUACUAAAGAAAGAUACCACAUGAAGCACCAAGGGUCUCUUUCUGGAUCUAUCAUGACUCUUGUGACUGUUUCAGCAGCACAGAAAUUAAAGGCGAUUGUUAUUCUGGAGGAAGACAAUGAGUCUCAUCUAUAUCUUGUUUGGGUUGAUUUUGUAAACAGAACAUUCCAAAGAUCAUUCUUGCCUUUUGUUUCCACUGAGAACUAGAAUAAAGUAAAACAAACUAUCAAUUUAAGGAAAGCCUCGAAAUUGUUAGCAAUUUCUUCAGUAACUUUCAUCCAUCAACUGAUUUUAUGAACACAAAUUUGCAGAAAUGGGCAAGAAAAACUACUUAACUCAUUGGUGGGAAGCAGUGGGCUCUCUAAGGAGGGAGAGAUAGCAGUGAUUUCACCACCGGACCGUGGAACACAAAGAGCCUGGAAGAGUCUAUCACUUUCAACUGAAACCGCAAGAAGAACUAAGUAGGUUAAGCCCUAAGAAUGUUCCUAGGUAACCUACUUGAGUUGAAAUUUGACUAAGAAUCCUUACACCCUACCUAAGAGAGGUAACGCUAUUAGGAUCGGAAGUGAUUGGAAGCUUUGUUUCAGAUCUCGUCCAAAAGGGAGAACGGUCAAUGACAAAGCUGCUGUGAAUAGUAUUCUGGGGGCGUGGUGGAACCCCGAUUCACUGCUAUCUCCCGAAUCAGCAACUUGACAGAGCGCGCCUCCCGGGCCUUGGAAGCCUUCCAUUCCGAGCUGGCUGGGUGGGACUCAGGUUUUACGGUAUGCUGGACUUUUUCCCCGUGAGUUAAAACACAUUUAUAGUAACUAAGUGGUUAAUGAUGAGAAAAAACCCCAAACUACUGUACUAAUAAUCAACCUC